CGGCUCGCCUGCAAUUGUGCCGUUGAAACGAUAUGUUGAUGAUAAUUUUUUCCUUUUGUUGAUAAUAAAGUGAACCGUUCAUGCGUCGCGACGUGAUUACUUUCAGUCGCGAUUUAUUGUCAGAUAGGGAUGCUUGUUGACCUUGGGAGUUUGAACGCUUGGUUCUUUUACUUUGUUCAAUUUCAUCGUUUCUGUACGGAUGUAAGGUGUGCGUAUAAUAGUGUUGAAUUAUUCAAGUCGCUGUACGGAAUAUCAAGAUCGGCACCUCAAUGACACAUGAUAUUCACGUGUGCCACACGUAGGAGUCAUGCUCCUGCGGCAUCAGUGUGUGGCAAGAAGCUGUUCGACUGAAGAGUUUUCGCAUCAGUUCUUCGGCUAGACGUAGCCGGACUUAACGUCGCGUUGUUAGAACGCUGGACGUUUAACAACAAGAGUUUUCCUCGCCGUUGGGAAGCGUUAUUCGCAAAUUUUUCCCUGACCCGAGUCAGGCCAACGGUCAACGGUCAAGGAAAAAGAUUAUCGCCAUGGUGAAUUCAAUAACGCGACUGGCUGCAGCUGUAUUGUCUAUCGCUGCAUUUCUAGUCUCUGAAGCAGUAUCGUUUCAGAUGCACUGGAAGAAAACUGCACCGACUUCCAGGGUGGCACAGUUAGACAUGGCCUCCUCUACGUACCAGGUCCUGCGGUAUGCAGCUUGUGCGUUUGCUACCAUUCCGAGCCGAUGUGGUGCAA